rnacentral:rRNA from 1 species
UACGUAGGGUGCGAGCGUUGUCCGGAAUUAUUGGGCGUAAAGGGCUCGUAGGCGGUUUGUCGCGUCGGGUGUGAAAACUCAGGGCUUAACCCUGAGCCUGCUCCCGAUACGGGCAGACUAGAGGUAUGCAGGGGAGAACGGAAUUCCUGGUGUAGCGGUGAAAUGCGCAGAUAUCAGGAGGAACACCGGUGGCGAAGGCGGUUCUCUGGGCCGAUACUGACACUGAGGAGCGAAAGCGUGGGGAGCGAACAGG